GGAGAAUGGACCCAAGUACUUGACUCUCUCGGCUCCGUACCAUGGGCUGCCUGAUGGUCCCUUUGGCUUGGCCACGGUCUUCCUCAUUGUCACACGGCCACUUCCGAGGACUUCUGAUGCCGCUGGAGAAAGUUUCACGGCCUUUCCGGCGAAGGCAGAGGAGGAGAGAGCCAUUGUCGAGGCAGCCAUUGCGGUUGAGUGCGGAGUAAAGUAAAAACGUUUAUUAGUUGUUGCUAUGUGCCAAGAAAUGGGUGGUUUGGUUCUGAAGAGCC
rnacentral:lncRNA from 1 species